AACGAACGCUGGCGGCAUGCCUAACACAUGCAAGUCGAACGAAACCUUCGGGUCUUGUGGCGCAGCGGGGCGUACCGCGGGGGAACCUACCCGUAGGUUCGCAAUACCUCCCCGAGAGGGAUGCUCAGGCCGCUGAGUGUCUUACGAGCUAAGAUGUAUCGCCGUUGGAUGGGGGCUCGUAGGAUUAGCUAGUUGGUAGGGUAAAAGCCUACCAUGGCGACGAUGCAUAGCUGGUGGGAGAGGAAGACCAGCCACAAUGGGAAUGCGACACGGACCAGACUCCUACGGGAGGGAGCAGAGGGGAAUACUGGACAAGGGACGAAAGCGUGAUACAGCAACGCGGGGGGAGUGAUGAAGGCCGUAGGGUUGUAAAGCUCCUUUAGACGGGACGAUAAUGACAGUAACGGGAGAAUAAGCACCGGCUAACUCCGUG
rnacentral:rRNA from 1 species